rnacentral:rRNA from 1 species
CGGGAGGCAGCAGUGGGGAAUAUUGGACAAUGGGCGAAAGCCUGAUCCAGCCAUGCCGCGUGUGUGAAGAAGGUCUUCGGAUUGUAAAGCACUUUAAGUUGGGAGGAAGGGCAGUAAGUUAAUACCUUGCUGUUUGACGUUACCAACAGA